AAAUAGAUACCCCGGUAGUCCACGCCGUAAACGAUGUCGACUUGGAGGUUGUGCCCUUGAGGCGGUGGCUUCCGGAGCUAACGCGUUAAGUCGACCGCCUGGGGAGUACGGCCGCAAGGUUAAAACUCAAAUGAAUUGACGGGGGCCCGCACAAGCGGUGGAGCAUGUGGUUUAAUUCGAUGCAACGCGAAGAACCUUACCUACUCUUGACAUCCAGAGAACUUGCCAGAGAUGGCUUGGUGCCUUCGGGAACUCUGAGACAGGUGUUGCAUGGCUGUCGUCAGCUCGUGUUGUGAAAUGUUGGGUUAAGUCCCGCAACGAGCGCAACCCUUACCCUUGUUGCCAGCGGUUAGGCCGGGAACUCAAAGGAGACUGCCAGUGAUAAACUGGAGGAAGGUGGGGAUGACGUCAAGUCAUCAUGGCCCUUACGAGUAGGGCUACACACGUGCUACAAUGGCGCAUACAAAGAGAAGCGACCUCGCGAGAGCAAGCGGACCUCAUAAAGUGCGUCGUAGUCCGGAUUGGAGUCUGC
rnacentral:rRNA from 1 species